AGGCCAGUAGUUCAAUGGCAGAAUACCGGACUCCAAAUCCGGGGGUUGAAGGUUCGAGUCCUUCCUGGCCUGCCA
rnacentral:tRNA from 1 species